rnacentral:misc_RNA from 1 species
GAUGGAAGAACGUAGCGAAAUGCGAUAAGUAAUGUGAAUUGCAGAAUUCAGUGAAUCAUCGAAUCUUUGAACGCACAUUGCGCCCGCCAGUAUUCUGGCGGGCAUGCCUGUCUGAGCGUCAUUUCAACCCUCAUGCCCCUAGGGCGUGGUGUUGGGGAUCGGCCAAAGCCCGCGAGGGACGGCCGGCCCCUAAAUCUAGUGGCGGACCCGUCGUGGCCUCCUCUGCGAAGUAGUGAUAUUCCGCAUCGGAGAGCGACGAGCCCCUGCCGUUAAACCCCCAACUUUCCAAGGUUGACCUCAGAUCAGGUAGGAAUACCCGCUGAACUUAAGCAUAUCAAUAAGCGGAGGA